CUUUAGCACCUCUUCAAAAAAUCCUCUCUCACAAACUGCAACAGUCUGUUUGUCUGCUUAGCACAUACUAAUCAUGUUGUGUUGUAUAUAUGGGCUUUUCACACCGCGCUUAACCCUGGGUGAGCCUUUAAAUCCCAGGUUAACGCCACUUUUAACCCUGGGUGAAGUGUUUCACACUUCUAUUUUUUUUUUUGUGAUCAAUUUUUUUAUUGUCUUUAAUUCAACAAAACAACAUCCAUUCAAACACACCAAACAGAAAAAAAAACACUUCUAUUUUUAAAAGAGAGUUAGCACGGCUGUUAAUCCUGGGUUAGAGCAGGGUUAACCAAGGAUUUUGUGAUGCUAACCCUCUAAUUGUUGUUCCAAAAAAAGUAUACUAUGUAAAACAAUGCAGUGCUAAAAAUGUAUAGAGAUUUAUCUAUCAUCACACAACCAAUCAUGCAGUACUUUUCUACACUGCUUACCUAAUUAAAUAUUCAUGAGCUUUAAAGAGUCACAGAAACUUUCACACACUGUGUUGCUUUAGCAUCUAAGGGCAAAAAAUGUAUAUGCCUACUCUUGUACUACAAAUGAUUGUAUAUUAUUGUAGUUUAUUUAAUUUAAAAAAGGUUUGAUAUUGUUUCAUGUGGCAUUUCCUAAUGACUAAAUGCAUUUCCACAGAUAAACAUAGGUUCCAGGUUCCACAGGUUCACGUACUGCCUUUGUCACAAAUUAUUAUUUUGAUUUUGCAAAUAUAAAUGGUAACCUUUAGUUUCCAAAUAUGUAUACUUUGGGAAAAAAACUAACCAAGAAUGAAGUAGGAACAUUCUGAAACAUAAAACAAGUGAACCUGGGAUUACCUUAAAACAGUGAUUGGAAAUGACAAGUGUGAAUAGCCCACAGGCUAUUUCUGUAUUUUAAACUCUGAACUUGACAUGACAUAACUUGACGUAACAUCUCACACACUUUAAUAUUGGGGCACAACCGGUUUGGAAAUUGGGAAAUAACACACAUCUGACAGCUAAGGUGUCUGAUUAGGUGGUUUUCCAUCUAAAAAGUGCUCAUAUGAGAGCAUAAAUUUAUUACAAUACUGUAGUAAAAGUCUAAUUAAAUGCAGCCAAAUGUACAUGUUCCUUAUAUGUAGUUUCGGUAAAACAAGAUGUAUUUUGUGGCUCUUUCACAAGCACAGCUAAUGCAUUAAAAGGCGUAUCAAAAGGAGAAUUUACUGGGAAUUUAAUAUGUAGGUAAUGCAUUUGGUUUGCAUCCUGCUGGGCAUAUGGUUACUAUUACACUAUACUGGCAGAGACAGAGAUUGUCGAGAGUGUAUGGAGGGCAAAUUCUGUUUUCAAUAAUUUUCGAAGAAGUUCUCUGGCACAUUAAUUAAAAGCAGAUUGGCUCCUUUAUUAUGGAAUUAUCAUGGAGGCAAGAUGUACAAUGGAAGUAAAAAAUGGAAAAGGUCAGUAUAUUCCAUUACUGUCCAUGUGAUGUCUGUGAACAAUGAAGGUGGAUUGGGAAUGUAUUUUUUAUCUUAGGAGCAGGCUGGAUUUAUUGCCGUCACUCAAAUAUUUUACUCAUCUAUAGAGUAUCCAAUCAGACUCCAGUUCUGAGGAUAAUUGCUUUGCUUCAAUGUGUCAUUGCUGGGUUUAUGACAGCUGUAAGUGAGUCUUCAAACCAUUUAUGGAUUAAUAGCAUAAUUCUGCAGACAGUUCUAAUGGCAUUCGGUUGCUUUAUAUUGAAUUCAUAUUAAUAAUUCUCUGUUCCAGUACCUGGCUUUCCAUUUGCAUUAGCCCACAUGUAUUGUGGAUGUGUAAUUAUAAAGCCACUGGGUGAGUAAGAUUUUGCUAUUAAUAAGACAGAAAAAGAAAUAUAUAUAUAUAUAUAUAUACACACACACACAGUAAGUAUUGUAUUUGAUUACAUCAUUUUGAUUGACUAAAAAAAAAAAAAAUUAAAUCCCUGACUCUCUAGAAUGAGUUAGAGAAGAAUAGAGGAGCAUCUAAAAAAUGCAACCUCAACAAAACUGAUUGUCCUCUGACGCUAAACAUCCAGUUACGUACUGUAUCUGUUAUAUAUUUAUUAAACUUCACUCCAAACCAUGGCAGUUUUCCAGCUAAUAGGUGCUUGCUCCAGAGAGCCCCCAGCAACAGUAGCAAUAUAGUCAUCCGCCAUGAAUACAAAAUAGUCAGGCAUUGCACAGUAAGCCCAAAGCCAGUAGACUCAGCUGGAUGCGCAUGCCCAGUAAAAACCAGCCACUGUGUGUCAGUCAAAUAAGACUUUGGAAAGAGGACUUAAUUGGAACUGUGUACCUUUGGGAUUCUGUUCAGAGGUAUAGUGAGGGUUUCAAAGUAGGAAACAUCCAACUUGAUGGUUUACAGCUUGCUGGAUAUUGGUAAUGAGAUGGUGAGUGAUUUAUGAAACUGCGGAGUAGGCUCUUUUCUAUGUACUGUGAAAAUUACAAAUUAAAUUGUGGAAGAAAUUGGCAGUAAAUCAUUAGGCUUGUUGAACCUUUUUCUUGGGAAAUCACAAUCUGAAUUAUUUGGAAUUAUAAAUUGAAUAAAAGGUCUUGAUUGUGGACUUUCACAGUGAUUUACCACCAAGAGCAGCAACAGUAUGAGUCAUGAAUUGCGGGUAAUUUCUAUAGUGUUGAGCUGGCAUGAAUUCUACCCAAUUUAAGUGAUGCAUUAAAUAUGUACUGCCAUUGAGGUCAAAGAAGGUUUCAAAGUGAGGGAAUUUCUUGACAGAUUUUGCAUGAGCGAUUCCUGAGGUCGAAGCUAUUGUCUCCAUUUACUUAAUGAGAGUCAAAUAAGGACACAACAGCUGGUUUGGUAGCAGCUCUUUUAUAUCUGCCUUUUUCCCUUUCUCUUCUAUUCUAUCACACACUCUCUCUCUCUCUCACACACACACACACACGCACACACACGUAUUUGCAAGCACACACUUGAGGAGUGAUCAGAGUUGGCUGAUGUCUGAGUCUUUCAGACACUGCGGCAGGCUUCCAGACAGUCACCUGAAAACACACUCCAUCUUUGAGAGCACUGCUGCCAUUGCAUUCACCCUCCAUUUCAAUGCGCCGCAUAUAGAUGACAACAUUUUCAUUUCAUUUUCACAUUUCAAUUUCUUGCACAACUGUCAUAAUCUCUUGAAAAUGUGCUGUUGCAAGUCAAAUCAAUAUUGUAUGGUCUUUUUUUGCCUAAUUUUAACCAUGCGCUGUCAGACAGCCAUUAGCGCCUGUGAGAUUCACUUUAGUGUUGUCAUUUAGAUCUAGUCUGUAAACUGAUGCAAAUGAAAUUCUGGCUCCAAAUCUCCCAUUGUCCCUCUUCAACUCCUUGGCGCCCUCUACUUUGCUUUGUAGGUGUUGCCAUGACAACCCAAGCCCUCUGUACCCUAUUUCAUUUUGCAAGCGACAAUGAGGUACACUGUGGCACAGUGUGUCUCCCAAAGGUGGCAACCUUCAUGUUGGCCAUCCCACUGUGAGAUACUGAGCAGACAUGGUGUGUAUGGACACUAUUUGAUUUGAAUAUAUGAUAUCCUACGAUUAAGCUUGUCUGCACUUUUUCAGCCACCAGGUCACAUUUUGCUGACAUGUUUUCUUGAAGCUGGCUAAAUAAUCCAUCAAUGCAGGAAAACCUCAUUGCAUCUCAUAUAGUGAGUUUUAAAUUCACUGUAAUUGCAGGGGUAUUUUCAUGGAAUGUUUACGUCUGUUCGCAAAACAACUGUGCAUAUUGUGCCUCAUAUGGAAAUGUAGCCCUUAUUUAUUUCCGAUAUGAAGGUUUACCACAGAUGAGUCGAGCGCCAAUCUCUAAAACCCUCUAAUAAGAUGUUAAAUGUGUGGUUUCGGCUCGAAUUGAAAUACCACAGAUUGAGGGCCAUUUUAAAUUAUGUAUAUGUGCGAUUGUUGCUGAAACCGUGCUGUGUGUUUCAUUUGCAGGCAGACGGCGGUGUUCAAGCGAAGCUCCUCAGACUGAGCACAUCUCUGCACAGAUGAGCUGAGAGGUCAAUGAGUUUCUGGGCUGCCACAGUGACUGCCAAGUACAACCAGACACACUCUAUUAGAUGCAUUAUAAAACUGUUGAAACUCUGUCUCUUUCUCUCGCUCUGCUUCUCUCUCACACAAAGAAUACAAAAGAAAUACACUCUUUUAUUACUUUCAAAAUGCUUUUGAGCAGACUUUGUUCAAUAAAGGAAUAAAAGGUGAAUAACUUUAUCCUCUUGCUUGUUUUUUCAAAGAAACAUACUGUGACUUUUAUACACAGGACAUACUACAAGAGAUUUUAACAGGUCAAAGUUGUCUUUGCUGUUUUAGUAGGAGGAUAAGAUGGCAUUUGAGUAUAAAUGUGUAAAAUGUAUUUCACUCAGGCCGGUUAAUCUGAAUCUGACAUUUGGACAUUUUAAGCAUUUAACAGCAUUGCCCUGUGUCUGAUUGGCUGAUUAUUGGCUGUUAUUUUAU
ensembl:lncRNA